GACGAACGCUGGCGGCGUGCUUAACACAUGCAAGUCGAACGAAAAGGCCCUGCUUUUGUGGGGUGCUCGAGUGGCGAACGGGUGAGUAACACGUGAGUAACCUGCCCUUGACUUUGGGAUAACUUCAGGAAACUGGGGCUAAUACCGGAUAGGAGCUCCUGCUGCAUGGUGGGGGUUGGAAAGUUUCGGCGGUUGGGGAUGGACUCGCGGCUUAUCAGCUUGUUGGUGGGGUAGUGGCUUACCAAGGCUUUGACGGGUAGCCGGCCUGAGAGGGUGACCGGCCACAUUGGGACUGAGAUACGGCCCAGACUCCUACGGGAGGCAGCAGUGGGGAAUAUUGCACAAUGGGCGGAAGCCUGAUGCAGCAACGCCGCGUGCGGGAUGACGGCCUUCGGGUUGUAAACCGCUUUCGCCUGUGACAAAGCGUGAGUGACGGUAAUGGGUAAAGAAGCACCGGCUAACUACGUG
rnacentral:rRNA from 1 species